AAAGGGAGGCCUAAUUCAGGUAAAAGACGAGAAAAAAGUAGUCGCUACCAAGAAUCAAUCCCAAAAGGUCGGAGCGAGGCGAAAUUGGCUUUCAAACUAGGUUCUGGGUUCAAACAAGACCUGAAUCAGGAACAAGGGCUAUUAGCUCAGGUGGUUAGAGCGCACCCCUGAUAAGGGUGAGGUCCCUGGUUCGAGUCCAGGAUGGCCCACCUGCACAGGUGGCAAAAACAAGAGAAGCGAGGAAUCAGCACCUUAUCUUACUGACAUAGUAAGAGAGAAUGCUGGCUCUGAGUAAAGAGUCCAGAGGAACCUUGAAAACUGCAUAGAGCUAGGUGAAAAAGCCAAAAAAGAAGACCGCAAG
rnacentral:tRNA from 1 species